UCUACGGGAGGCAGCAGUAGGGAAUCUUCCGCAAUGGACGAAAGUCUGACGGAGCAACGCCGCGUGAGUGAUGAAGGCUUUCGGGUCGUAAAACUCUGUUUCAGGGAAGAACAAGUAUCGGAGUAACUGCCGGUACAUGACGUACUGACAUA
rnacentral:rRNA from 1 species